GACGAACGCUGGCGGCGUGCUUAACACAUGCAAGUCGAACGGAAAGGCCCAGCUUGCUGGGUGCUCGAGUGGCGAACGGGUGAGUACACGUGGGUGAUCUGCCCCUAACUUCGGGAUAAGCUUGGGAAACUGGGUCUAAUACCGGAUAGGACAAUCGUUUAGUGUCGGUUGUGGAAAGUUUUUUCGGUUAGGGAUGAGCCCGCGGCCUAUCAGCUUGUUGGUGGGGUAAUGGCCUACCAAGGCGUCGACGGGUAGCCGGCCUGAGAGGGUGGACGGCCACAUUGGGACUGAGAUACGGCCCAGACUCCUACGGGAGGCAGCAGUGGGGAAUAUUGCACAAUGGGCGCAAGCCUGAUGCAGCGACGCCGCGUGGGGGAUGACGGCCUUCGGGUUGUAAACCUCUUUCGACAGGGACGAAGCUUUGGUGACGGUACCUGUAUAAGAAGCACCGGCUAACUACGUG
rnacentral:rRNA from 1 species